GACAGAAGUGUCGGGAGAGCUUGUAAUACUCCCCCCUGAAUUUCGACGACUUCUGGCCGAAGCGACAGAAGUGCCGGGAGAGCUUGUGAUACUCCCCCCUGAAUUUCGACGACUUCUGGCCGAAGCGACAGAAGUGCCGGGAGAGCUUGUGAUACUCCCCCCUGAAUUUCGACGACUUCUGGCCGAAGCGACAGAAGUGCCGGGAGAGCUUG
rnacentral:lncRNA from 1 species